UUGUAAAACAAAAAAUACUAUAAAAAAAAAAAAAAAAAAAAAAAAAUUCACAGUUGUUUUUCGAGCUAACGGUGAUUGGUGCAAUAUAUUUGAAAGAUGUCACGAUUUACACUUGGCAUGAAAUUCGAUCAGUAUGUAUUUACUGUGUUCACAGCAACGUCAGACUAAUCUAUACAAGUUUAUUGUCCAUCUCAAGCCAUUGCGCACUGAAUUUGGACACCUGGAUGACACAGAGUUAGAGGUAUCCAAUAUCCGACAUGUUUACCAUAAAGCAAGGUCUGUUCUGUGUAUUGUUGCUGCUGAUUUGUGCCGCAACUGUGAAUACACAGAACGGUGAUGAAACCAGCACUGAAACCAGCACUGAAACCAGCACGGAUACCACCACUACUACAGAAAGUGGUGACAAUGCAGGCUCUACAACGAUUGUAUCAACGACAUGUGUACUUGCGGGUUUCACGUAUCUAAUGACGGUGUAAACAACGCUUCACAACCACGACGUUGGAUUUCUUCUACCGAACUCUCGUCGUUUUUUCUGUUUGAAGCUCAUUUACCAUGACUGAUUUAUUAGCACUAUCUUUUGAUAGCAAAGCGAAUUGCUGUGAUGUUUUACAGAUGAUGACAACUGAACCUGAAGAACAUUUCUAAAUCGUAUGAAAUUCAAGUGAUGCUAAUAACGUGUUGCCACCGUAUCUCCCAUCCCUCAGGGGCGUAGCACGGUUGGACCUAAGGGUGGUGCAUGUGUGUGUGUGUGUGUGUGUGCGCGCGUGCGUGUGUGCGUGUGCGUGUGUGUGUGUGUGUGCGCGCGCGCCCCACAUUUUGGAAUCUUCCUACUCUUGUGGACGGUAGUAUUAACCUUUGCCGGGGGCCUAAAUCAUCAUCUAUGCAACAGUCCAAUCACUUCCGUCCAACCGUCUGUUGGGUUAAUAUUUAAAAUAAAACAGUUUGUUAACCUGUUGUAAAAAUGUAGUGUAGAGCAUGUUAUCAGUAUUUAUUUGACAGAAUUUUGAAAGCUGUAUUUAUUAACAUGUUGACACCAUUUUCUUUAUUUGUGUUUUUCUUUAAUAUUGAAAUGACCAAUAUAUAUAUUAAAUUACAGCUAUAUGAUGUCUAGCAUAUUUUAUUUUGACAUUUGGAGGGACGAAGGA